AUAAAGAGUUCCUGUCCGGUAGAUGUGACGUACUUUCCAUACGACCAGCAGACAUGUGAGAUUCAUUUUGGGUCAUGGAUUUAUGACGUCACCAAGGUUGAUCUUCAACUUCUCUCCGGAGGACCGAACCUUAAGCAGUACAUACUGAACAAUGAGUUUGAUCUGUUGAACGUCAAUCUAUACAGAACCACGGUGGACGAGACGUGUUGCCCUGGAAACGGAUCUCAUCCAAUCAUCCAUUUUCAAAUGACCAUUAAGCGAAAGUCCAUUUACUACGACUACAUAGUGAUCGCCCCUACCAUCAUGCUGUGUAUCUUGACCCUAGCCUCGUUCUGGCUGCCUUGUCACCACGGGGAGAAGAUCGCCAUUGGUCUGACAGUUUUUCUCACGCUGUACGUGUUACAGCUGCUGAUUGCAGAGAACGUUCCGGACACCAACACCACGCCCGUGCUAGGUGUGUUUAUUUUUCUGGUGAUGACCUUAAACUGUAUAUCUCUGAUCAUGGCGACGCUGGUGAUGGGUAUAAAGAAGCGAUCAACAUUAAAACCAGUGCCACAAGUACCGCCAUUGAUGCUGAAGGCCUGCAAACAGCUGCUAGCAAAAAUCACCUGUACACCACCGGAAUCUCGUUUCCAUGCCUACAAUCUCUGUCAAGAAGAAGACGAUAAGGACAAGCCUUUCACCGCAACGGAGUCCUGGGAUUCCUUGGAUCAUCUUCUUCACGAAUUUGAUGACGUUGCAGACGAUGAAGAUGUAUCGUCCGCUCACCUCUUGCCCUGUGCUGUCAGUGACGACAUUUCCCAGAGUUCCAUUUUAGCGAGUGCCCUCUCCUACAGACGAACCCUAAAGAACAGACGCUCGUAUCGUAGAGCCAUACACGGUGAGAAUCAACAGUCUAGUGCCAUAUCUCCUCCUCAGACAGACCCUAAAGCACCCGUCAGUCCGGAGACCUUGGUCCGAAAACAGGAGUGGUGCUUUGUAGCGGAGACAGUGGACAAGGCCUCCUUCAUCGUGUAUCUUGCUAGCAUGUUUAUCACAAUCUUGACCGUUUUGGUCAUUGUACCCAGUUUUCAAAACCUCAACAUCUAAAUGUAAUACUUUUUCCAGGUACAUAUAUUGGUGCAUUUAAUUUUUUUUUUUAUAAAAAUAACAUUUAUUUUAUAUAAUCUAUAUUUUUAAGGCCAAGUCUUUAGCUAUGACAUAUGACGUAGCUCAGCAUUUCAAAAAUCCAAAAAUAAAUUCAAGAAAACA
rnacentral:misc_RNA from 1 species